ACAACUAAAUGAAUACAGCUAUGGUGGCCUGCAGGUGAGGUAAAAACCUGAAAGACCCCUUUUCCUUAGAGAAUAUAUUUUCUUUUGUUUGUUUCUUGUUUGUUCUGGGCUACAGUACGAACAUGGAAGUACACUCCAUGGAGGAAGAACAACUCCCAAGAUAGAGGAAGAGGUUCUUCCUGCACUUCUCCUUCUUCCUCGUUCUCCUUAAAAAAGCCCAGUAAAUCCCAGGACCGAGGAAUGACCUGCCGGGAUACAAGACAACAGCAGGGAUCCCGAGUACUGGUUCUCCACCCACCGCACGCAGCAGCAUCCCAACUACGUAGCCGGUGAUAGCGCCGUAGGUAUUGGCGUGGCGGAAGUGCAGCACGCAGGCAAGCUGUGGGAAGACGAUGCAGUAGAGCAGGUCUCCGCUCAACAGCCAGAGGGCAAAGACGCUGUCAUCACCAAAGGCCAGGCCUGUUCCUGCCAGGCCCACCAGCACCACGCUACCACGGAUCACCCACUGCAGCUCCCGCUCCGACGCCUGCAGAGAGGGGAGGUGAAGCGACGAGGCCGCCACUGCUCCUAUGAUCACUGAGGGCAUUCCCAUCAUAAAAACUGUCCCAGCAGCAGCGAAGCAGGUGAUCUGAGCCUGAGCAGAGGAGGCUGCAGAGAGGAUCCUCUGGUACAGAGACUGAUAGGCCAGUCCGCCCACACUCUGUUGUAUACAGAACAACAACAACAAAAACAAGCUUUGUCAGUGAACAACUUGGCAAUUCAUGCAGUCCGACAAAACGUCCUUUCUCACAGCGGACAAUUUGACUGGUCAAACAGAUUUAUCAUUUACAUAGACCCAUCAUUUUCAACAACAGAUACUGUACAAAGAAGUCGAAUAAAGCUGCCUGAGUCAGGACAAGUAAGAGGACAAUGUUGCUGCAUGUAAAUAAAAGAUUACAUGUUGUUUCUCUGCACGAUUUUAGUGCAAAUUUUUUCGAGGGAUUUCAUGAGUGUGUGAGCAAGUGUGUGAUUCAAAGUUCAGUUGGGAGAAUGUGAUUAGAAAAAAGAUGAUGCCUCACUAAUUUUUGGAACUGUGGACACUCUUCAGUGCACUUGUGGUUGUACAGUAACGUUACAGAGUGGCGGUUCUUCUCCCCCGAGGCUAUCUUUGCAAAGUAGUGACGCAGACGUGCAGAAACCACAAAACUCAAGCCGCCAGCAGAUAAGUUUAAUUAAUAACAGCUGAUAAGACGCACCGCUCAUGUUUGAUAUUUUAACCAAUAGAGGCGGCGUUCAGAAAAAGAGAAUAGAAAAAAGACAGCCCUAUUAUCAUAAAAGUUGGCUCUCCUUAGUUCAAACAGUCCGCUAAGUUUGUUUUGGACACAGACGAGGUCACUGGUCCUGCAGCGUUUGUAAGCAAGUCGUUUGACUCGCACAAAACAAAUCUCACCACUAAUAGAAACUCAUCCAUCCAUAUUCCUGUGUCCGCCAGCUCCAUCUUUCCCAGCCAUGAGUUCCCACUCGUUUGGUUGACGUGGGGUCUUUGUGACAGGUCAGUAACAGCAGGACUGAGGAACAUAAAAGGAACACAGAGCCACUGAAAGAGAAAGGAAAAACAGUAGUUAUCGAACAAGCCACAAAUUGACUUACUCGAAUUUCUUAAUGUUGUCGUCUCUCCCUCAUUUCUGUCAAUCACUACUUUAAUACACUCCCUCUGUUUCUCACCAUGCUGACAAAGAUGAAGCAAAACUGGAUGACAUCAGUAUAUGCAACAGAGUACAGACCCCCUAAUACUGUAUAGAUGAUGGAGACAGCGGCCGAGAUAACAAUAGAGAGGGCUGACGACAACUCGAGAAUCAUGCUCAUCGUUCCUCCUGGAUAUCACACAGAAAAUAAACCAGAGGUGAACACACUGUGUAAUGUGAUGGACUGAUGACCACUGUUUUCAUUUAAAGGCACAAAGACGUACGUAUAAAGAUUGACCUACCCAGAGCAGAA